GCAAACUUGGUCAUUUAGAGGAAGUAAAAGUCGUAACAAGGUUUCCGUAGGUGAACCUGCGGAAGGAUCAUUAACAAAUGGAUCUUCGGAUCAACCAGGCCUCACCCUUAUCGGGCGGCUCGGGUUAACCCUUUGUGAACCAAAAAAACCUUUUUCGCUUCGGCAGCUGGGUCCUAAACCAACCCGUCAGCCUGCCGCUAGCACAAACUUCAAAAACUUGUUGUCAAAAACAUUGUCUGAUAACCAAAAUUUUCGAAUGAAAAUCAAAACUUUCAACAACGGAUCUCUUGGUUCCCGCAUCGAUGAAGAACGCAGC
rnacentral:misc_RNA from 1 species